rnacentral:rRNA from 1 species
AUGGUUGGAAAUCAUUCGCAGAGUGUAAAGGCACAAGGGAGCUUGACUGCGAGACCUACAAGUCGAGCAGGGACGAAAGUCGGGCUUAGUGAUCCGGUGGUUCCGCAUGGAAGGGCCAUCGCUCAACGGAUAAAAGCUACCCCGGGGAUAACAGGCUUAUCUCCCCCAAGAGUCCACAUCGACGGGGAGGUUUGGCCCCUCGAUGUCGGCUCAUCGCAUCCUGGGGCUGUAGUCGGUCCCAAGGGUUGGGCUGUUCGCCCAUUAAAGCGGUACGCGAGCUGGGUUCAGAACGUCGUGAGACAGUUCGGUCCCUAUCCGUCGCG